rnacentral:lncRNA from 1 species
GCCACCACCGUGGGGUCACCGGCACCUUCUGGCCCUGGUGGCCUCGUUGGGGGCCGUGGCCACCACCGUGGUGUCACCGGCACCUUCUGGCCCUGGUGGCCUCGUUGGGCUCCUUGGGGGCCGUGGCCACCACCGUGGUGUCACCGGCACCUUCUGGCCCUGGUGGCCUCGUUGGGCUCCUUGGGGGCCGUGGCCACCACCGUGGUGUCACCGGCACCUUCUGGCCCUGGUGGCCUCGUUGGGCUCCUUGGGGGCCGUGGCCACCACCGUGGUGUCACCGGCACCUUCUGGCCCUGGUGGCCUCGUUGGGCUCCUUGGGGGCCGUGGCCACCACCGUGGUGUCACCGGCACCUUCUGGCCCUGGUGGCCUCGUUGGGCUCCUUGGGGGCCGUGGCCACCACCGUGGUGUCACCGGCACCUUCUGGCCCUGGUGGCCUCGUUGGGCUCCUUGGGGGCCGUGGCCACCACCGUGGUGUCACCUGGGGGGCCGUGGCCACCACCGUGGUGUCACCGGCACCUUCUGGCCCUGGUGGCCUCGUUGGGCUCCUUGGGGGCCGUGGCCACCACCGUGGUGUCACCGGCACCUUCUGGCCCUGGUGGCCUCGUUGGGCUCCUUGGGGGCCGUGGCCACCACCAUGGUGUCACCGGCACCUUCUGGCCCAACAGAGAGUUGGUUGGCCCUGGUGGCCUCGUGGGGCUCCUUGGGGGCCGUGGCGUCACCGGCACCUUCUGGCCCAACAGAGAGUCGACUGGCCCCGGUGGCCUCGUUGGGCUCCUUGGGGGCCAUGGCCCCCACUGUGGGGUCACCGGCACCUUCUGGCCCAACAGAGAGUCGGUUGGCCCUGGUGGCCUCGUUGGGCUCCUUGGGGGCCGUGACAGCGGUGGGUUUGGUGGCCGCCGGGGGUUACUACCUGAAGACCACGGCGUGUAAGAAGGGGGAGUACAACGUGCGCGACGCCGAAGGGUCUUCCGAAGCCACCUGUCUCCACCGGCACCGCCACCCCGACGUCUUCGGCAUCCAGCUCACCCAGCCCUGAACUGGGAAGGGGCCACCCUUGUCCCUCAAACCCAACUGGGAUGGAGGUUUUGGGGAAUCCUCUCUUCCAUCCCU